rnacentral:rRNA from 1 species
AGCAGCCGCGGUAAUUCCAGCUCCAAUAGCGUAUAUUAAAGUUGUUGCAGUUAAAAAGCUCGUAGUUGAAUUUCGGGAUCAAUUUGUCGGUCGUGCCUCGGUACGUACUGGCAUUAUUGGUUUCUACCUUCUGAAGAACCUUGAUGUCAUUAAUUUGGUGUCUUGGGGAAUCAGGACUGUUACUUUGAAAAAAAUUAGAGUGUUUAAAGCAGGCAUACGCUUGAAUACAUUAGCAUGGAAUAAUGAAAUAGGACGUUUGAUUCUAUUUUGUUGGUUUCUAGGAUCGACGUAAUGAUUAAUAGGGAUAGUUGGGGGCAUUAGUAUUCAAUUGUCAGAGGUGAAAUUCUUGGAUUUAUUGAAGACUAACUACUGCGAAAGCAUUUGCCAAGGAUGUUUUCAUUAAUCAAGAACGAAAGUUAGGGGAUCGAAGACGAUCAGAUACCGUCGUAG